GCUUUGUGGCUGCAGACUGUUCAUCUUCCCCGGCCUGAAAAUGAAAGCUGCAGAGGAUCAGAGAGGCCGUCUGGAGUUAAAGGUGUAGUCUGUGGUUUGUAGUGACAUCUAGUGGCACAUUGACCAACUGCAGCCAGACUGAUUUAAGAUUCUUCAUCACUGAUCAAACUGAAAUUAAAAAUGUACAGAGCAUGGCUGCUGCGUCCAUUUGCUGUAGGACAGCCGC